GAUGAACGCUGGCGGCGUGCCUAAUACAUGCAAGUCGAACGAAACUUCUUUAUCACCGAGUGCUUGCACUCACCGAUAAAGAGUUGAGUGGCGAACGGGUGAGUAACACGUGGGCAACCUGCCCAAAAGAGGGGGAUAACACUUGGAAACAGGUGCUAAUACCGCAUAACCAUAGUUACCGCAUGGUAACUAUGUAAAAGGUGGCUAUACUACCGCUUUUGGAUGGGCCCGCGGCGCAUUAGCUAGUUGGUAGGGUAAAGGCUUACCAAGGCAAUGAUGCGUAGCCGAAUUGAGAGGUUGAUCGGCCACAUUGGGACUGAGACACGGCCCAAACUCCUACGGGAGGCAGCAGUAGGGAAUCUUCCACAAUGGGCGAAAGCCUGAUGGGGCAACGCCGCGUGGGUGAAGAAGGUCUUCGGAUCGUAAAACCCUGUUGUUAGAGAAGAAAGUGCGUGAGAGUAACUGUUCACGUUUCGACGGUAUCUAACCAGAAAGCCACUGCUAACUACGUG
rnacentral:rRNA from 1 species